rnacentral:rRNA from 1 species
UACGUAGGUGGCAAGCGUUGUCCGGAAUUAUUGGGCGUGAAGCGCGCGCAGGCGGUCCUUUAAGUCUGAUGUGAAAGCCCACGGCUCAACCGUGGAGGGUCAUUGGAAACUGGGGGACUUGAGUGCAGAAGAGGAAAGUGGAAUUCCAAGUGUAGCGGUGAAAUGCGUAGAGAUUUGGAGGAACACCAGUGGCGAAGGCGACUUUCUGGUCUGUAACUGACGCUGAGGCGCGAAGGCUAGGGUAGCAAACAGG